rnacentral:rRNA from 1 species
GAGCAGCAACACUGGGACUGAGACACUGCCCAGACUCCUACGGGAGGCUGCAGUCGAGAAUCAUUGUCAAUGCACGAAAGUGUGAACAUGCGACGCCGCGUGGAGGAAGACGGCCUUUGGGUUGUAAACUCCUGUCAGCAGGGAGUAAGGAUGGUUUAUCUAAUACAUAAGCCAUUUGAUAGUACCUGCAGGGGAAGUCACGGCUAACUCUGUGCCAGCAGCCGCGGUAAUACAGAGGUGGCGAACGUUGUUCGGAUUUACUGGGCGUAAAGGGUCCGCAGGCGGCUUGGUGUGUCAGAUGUGAAAGCCCACGGCUUAACCGUGGAAUUGCAUUUGAAACUGCCAAGCUAGAGUACUGGAGGGGAGAAGGGAACACUUGGUGUAGCGGUGAAAUGCGUAGAUAUCAAGUGGAACACCGGUGGCGAAGGCGCUUCUCUGGACAGAUACUGACGCUCAUGGACGAAAGUUAGGGUAGCGAAAGGGAUUAGAUACCCCUGUAGUCCUAACCGUAAACGGUGUGCGCUAGGCGUGGGUGGCUUUACCCCCAUCCGUGCCUGAGCUAACGCAUUAAGCGCACCGCCUGGGGAGUACGGUCGCAAGAUUAAAACUCAAAGGAAUUGACGGGGACCCGCACAAGCGGUGGAGCAUGUGGCUUAAUUCGAUGCAACGCGAAGAACCUUACCUGGGCUUGACAUAUAGCUGCAUACGACCCGAAAGGGACGUAGCCUUCGAGGGUGCUAUACAGGUGCUGCAUGGCUGUCGUCAGCUCGUGCCGUGAGGUGUUGGGUUAAGUCCCGCAACGAGCGCAACCCCUGUGUUUAGUUGCCAGCACGUAAUGGUGGGAACUCUAAACAGACUGCCUGUGAAAGCAGGAGGAAGGUGGGGAUGACGUCAAGUCAGUAUGGUCCUUAUGCCCAGGGCUGCACACCUGCUACAAUGGGAUGUACAGUGGGAAGCUAAGCCGCGAGGUGGAGCAAAUCCUCAAAACAUCCCCCAGUUCGGAUUGUAGUCUGAAACUCGACUACAUGAAGUUGGAAUCGCUAGUAAAGGCGUAUCAGCUACGACGCCUUGAAUACGUUCCCGGGUCUUGUACACACCGCCCGUCACAUCAUGGAAGUUAGUUGCACCCGAAGUCGUUGAUCCAACCUUUUAUUAGGAGGAAGGCGCCUAAGGUGUGAUUGGUAACUGGGAUGAAGUCGGAACAAGGUA